UAGGGAAUCUUGGGCAAUGGACGAAAGCCUGAUCGAGCCACGCCGCGUGAGUGAAGAAGGCCUUCGGAUCGUAAAACUCUGUUGGCAGAAAAGAAAAAGGACGGUAGAAAAUGAAGGGAAACUGACGGUACCUAAACAGAAAGCAACGGCUAACUACGUGCCAGCAGCCGCGGUAAUACGUAGGUGGCAAGCGUUGAUCGGAUUUAUUGGGCGUAAAGCGAGCGCAGGCGGUUUCUUAAGACUGAUGUGAAAGCCCCCGGCUCAACCGUGGAGGGUCAUUUGUAACUGGGAGACUUGAGUGCGGAAGAGGGGGGUGGAAUUCCAUGUGUAGCGGUGAAAUGCGUAGAUAUAUGGAGGAACACCAGUGGCGAAGGCGGCUCUCUGGUCUGUAACUGACGCUGAUGCUCGAAAGCGUGGGGAGCAAACAGG
rnacentral:rRNA from 1 species